CAGCAGCCGCGGUAAUACGAACCGUGCGAACGUUAUUCGGAAUUACUGGGCUUAAAGCGCGUGUAGGCGGGUCGGCACGUCGGUCGCUGAAAUCCCCCGGCUCAACCGGGGAAGUGGCGCCGAUACGGCCGGCCUGGAGGGGGGUAGGGGGGUCUGGAACUUCCGGUGGAGCGGUGAAAUGCGUUGAGAUCGGAAGGAACGCCCGUGGCGAAAGCGAGACCCUGGACCCUUACUGACGCUGAGACGCGAAAGCCAGGGGAGCGAACGGGAUUAGAUACCCCCGUAGUCCCUGUCUCUUAUA
rnacentral:rRNA from 1 species